rnacentral:rRNA from 1 species
GGUUAAGCGACUAAGCGUACACGGUGGAUGCCCUGGCAGUCAGAGGCGAUGAAGGACGUGCUAAUCUGCGAUAAGCGUCGGUAAGGUGAUAUGAACCGUUAUAACCGGCGAUGUCCGAAUGGGGAAACCCAGUGUGUUUCGACACACUAUCAUUAACUGAAUCCAUAGGUUAAUGAGGCGAACCGGGGGAACUGAAACAUCUAAGUACCCCGAGGAAAAGAAAUCAACCGAGAUUCCCCCAGUAGCGGCGAGCGAACGGGGAGCAGCCCAGAGCCUGAAUCAGUGUGUGUGUUAGUGGAAGCGUCUGGAAAGGCGCGCGAUACAGGGUGACAGCCCCGUACACAAAAAUGCACAUACUGUGAGCUCGAUGAGUAGGGCGGGACACGUGGUAUCCUGUCUGAAUAUGGGGGGACCAUCCUCCAAGGCUAAAUACUCCUGACUGACCGAUAGUGAACCAGUACCGUGAGGGAAAGGCGAAAAGAACCCCGGCGAGGGGAGUGAAAAAGAACCUGAAACCGUGUACGUACAAGCAGUGGGAGCCCUGAUUUAUCAGGGUGACUGCGUACCUUUUGUAUAAUGGGUCAGCGACUUAUAUUCUGUAGCAAGGUUAACCGAAUAGGGGAGCCGGAGGGAAACCGAGUCUUAACUGGGCGUUAAGUUGCAGGGUAUAGACCCGAAACCCGGUGAUCUAGCCAUGGGCAGGUUGAAGGUUGGGUAACACUAACUGGAGGACCGAACCGACUAAUGUUGAAAAAUUAGCGGAUGACUUGUGGCUGGGGGUGAAAGGCCAAUCAAACCGGGAGAUAGCUGGUUCUCCCCGAAAGCUAUUUAGGUAGCGCCUCGUGAAUUCAUCUCCGGGGGUAGAGCACUGUUUCGGCAAGGGGGUCAUCCCGACUUACCAACCCGAUGCAAACUGCGAAUACCGGAGAAUGUUAUCACGGGAGACACACGGCGGGUGCUAACGUCCGUCGUGAAGAGGGAAACAACCCAGACCGCCAGCUAAGGUCCCAAAGUCAUGGUUAAGUGGGAAACGAUGUGGGAAGGCCCAGACAGCCAGGAUGUUGGCUUAGAAGCAGCCAUCAUUUAAAGAAAGCGUAAUAGCUCACUGGUCGAGUCGGCCUGCGCGGAAGAUGUAACGGGGCUAAACCAUGCACCGAAGCUGCGGCAGCGACACUAUGUGUUGUUGGGUAGGGGAGCGUUCUGUAAGCCUGUGAAGGUGUGCUGUGAGGCAUGCUGGAGGUAUCAGAAGUGCGAAUGCUGACAUAAGUAACGAUAAAGCGGGUGAAAAGCCCGCUCGCCGGAAGACCAAGGGUUCCUGUCCAACGUUAAUCGGGGCAGGGUGAGUCGACCCCUAAGGCGAGGCCGAAAGGCGUAGUCGAUGGGAAACAGGUUAAUAUUCCUGUACUUGGUGUUACUGCGAAGGGGGGACGGAGAAGGCUAUGUUGGCCGGGCGACGGUUGUCCCGGUUUAAGCGUGUAGGCUGGUUUUCCAGGCAAAUCCGGAAAAUCAAGGCUGAGGCGUGAUGACGAGGCACUACGGUGCUGAAGCAACAAAUGCCCUGCUUCCAGGAAAAGCCUCUAAGCAUCAGGUAACAUCAAAUCGUACCCCAAACCGACACAGGUGGUCAGGUAGAGAAUACCAAGGCGCUUGAGAGAACUCGGGUGAAGGAACUAGGCAAAAUGGUGCCGUAACUUCGGGAGAAGGCACGCUGAUAUGUAGGUGAAGUCCCUCGCGGAUGGAGCUGAAAUCAGUCGAAGAUACCAGCUGGCUGCAACUGUUUAUUAAAAACACAGCACUGUGCAAACACGAAAGUGGACGUAUACGGUGUGACGCCUGCCCGGUGCCGGAAGGUUAAUUGAUGGGGUCAGCGCAAGCGAAGCUCUUGAUCGAAGCCCCGGUAAACGGCGGCCGUAACUAUAACGGUCCUAAGGUAGCGAAAUUCCUUGUCGGGUAAGUUCCGACCUGCACGAAUGGCGUAAUGAUGGCCAGGCUGUCUCCACCCGAGACUCAGUGAAAUUGAACUCGCUGUGAAGAUGCAGUGUACCCGCGGCAAGACGGAAAGACCCCGUGAACCUUUACUAUAGCUUGACACUGAACACUGGUCCUUGAUGUGUAGGAUAGGUGGGAGGCUUUGAAGUGUGGACGCCAGUCUGCAUGGAGCCGUCCUUGAAAUACCACCCUUUAAUGGCUGGUGUUCUAACGUUGGCCCCUUACCGGGGUUGCGGACAGUGUCUGGUGGGUAGUUUGACUGGGGCGGUCUCCUCCUAAAGAGUAACGGAGGAGCACGAAGGUUGGCUAAUCCUGGUCGGACAUCAGGAGGUUAGUGCAAUGGCAUAAGCCAGCUUGACUGCGAGCGUGACGGCGCGAGCAGGUGCGAAAGCAGGUCAUAGUGAUCCGGUGGUUCUGAAUGGAAGGGCCAUCGCUCAACGGAUAAAAGGUACUCCGGGGAUAACAGGCUGAUACCGCCCAAGAGUUCAUAUCGACGGCGGUGUUUGGCACCUCGAUGUCGGCUCAUCACAUCCUGGGGCUGAAGUAGGUCCCAAGGGUAUGGCUGUUCGCCAUUUAAAGUGGUACGCGAGCUGGGUUUAGAACGUCGUGAGACAGUUCGGUCCCUAUCUGCCGUGGGCGCUGGAGAACUGAGGGGGGCUGCUCCUAGUACGAGAGGACCGGAGUGGACGCAUCACUGGUGUUCGGGUUGUCAUGCCAAUGGCACUGCCCGGUAGCUAAAUGCGGAAGAGAUAAGUGCUGAAAGCAUCUAAGCACGAAACUUGCCCCGAGAUGAGUUCUCCCUGAGACCUGGAGUCUCCUGAAGGAACGUUGAAGACGACGACGUUGAUAGGCCGGGUGUGUAAGCGCAGCGAUGCGUUGAGCUAACCGGUACUAAUGAACCGUGAGGCUUAACCUU